rnacentral:rRNA from 1 species
GAGUUUGAUCCUGGCUCAGCGCGAACGUUGGCGGCGUGCCUAACACAUGCAAGUCGUGGGGCAGCAGGUUACUGUCUUUUGGCAGUGGUGCUGGCGACCGGCAAACGGGUGAGUACACGUAGCUUACCUACCCAUAGGUUGGGGAUAACAUUCCGAAAGGGGUGCUAAUACCCAAUAAUGAGGAGACUCCAAAGCCCUUAUGGGUGCCUAUGGAUGGGGCUGCGUCCCAUCAGCUUGUUGGUGAGGUAAUGGCUCACCAAGGCUACGACGGGUAACCGGUCUGAGAGGAUAACCGGUCACAGUGGGACUGAGACACGGCCCGCACCCCUACGGGGGGCAGCAGUGGGGAAUAUUGGGCAAUGGCUGAAAGGCUGACCCAGCAACGCCGCGUGGUGGAUGAAGCCCUUCGGGGUGUAAACACCUUUUCUGGGGGAAGAUAAUGACGGUACCCCAGGAAUAAGGGACGGCUAACUACGUGCCAGCAGCCGCGGUAAUACGUAGGUCCCAAACGUUGCGCGAAUUUACUGGGCGUAAAGAGUCCGUAGGCGGUUUAGCAAGUGGUUGGUGAAAUUUCACGGCU